rnacentral:rRNA from 1 species
UUGAACGCUGGCGGCAUGCCUUACACAUGCAAGUCGAACGGCAGCGCGGGCUUCGGCCUGGCGGCGAGUGGCGAACGGGUGAGUAAUACAUCGGAACGUGCCCUGUUGUGGGGGAUAACUAGUCGAAAGAUUAGCUAAUACCGCAUACGACCUGAGGGUGAAAGCGGGGGACCGUAAGGCCUCGCGCAAUAGGAGCGGCCGAUGUCUGAUUAGCUAGUUGGUGGGGUAAAGGC